GCUUCGUUGGCACAGUUAGACAGCGCGUCAGUCUUAUAAUCUGAAGGUCGUGAGUUUGAUCCUCACAUGGGGCA